rnacentral:lncRNA from 1 species
UGCUAUUUUUGUCUGUUUCAAUUCUAUUUUACUAAAAAUAAGAGAAAAAAAUCUUCUUCAUUGGUCUUAUUCAAAACUUUCAGCUCAAUAUUCUUAUCUUACAGUCCAAGCCCUGCUGACACAUAUCAUGCUAUUUUUCCAAUUUGUGAUCUCCAAGUGAUAUAUGGUUAGGAUCUGAAUGUUGGGUGAUAAAGGUUUGGCCUUGGG